CCCCAUGUAGCUCAGGUGGCGGAGCACUGUCAGAGUGCGGAGCUGCAAUCGCGUACAGAGGUCACUGGUUCGAGUCCAGUCGCAGGGU
rnacentral:tRNA from 1 species